rnacentral:rRNA from 1 species
UACCAGCACCCCGAGUGGUCGGGACGAUUAUUGGGCCUAAAGCAUCCGUAGCCGGUUCUACAAGUCUUCCGUUAAAUCCACCUGCUUAACAGAUGGGCUGCGGAGGAUACUAUGGAGCUAGGAGGCGGGAGAGGCAAGCGGUACUUAGUGGGUAGGGGUAAAAUCCGUUGAUCCAUUGAAGACCACCAGUGGCGAAGGCGGCUUGCCAGAACACACUCGACGGUGAGGGAUGAAAGCUGGGGGAGCAAACCGG